rnacentral:lncRNA from 1 species
GCAAUGGAAACUCACCCUAGGCUAGCAGGGAAGGGGACAGAAGCUGAGCAUCCGGACCACCGCAAGGAAGGCAGAUAUUCCAUUUUCUUCACUUUGCCCUGCAUCCCCCCGCCAAAGAAAGAACACUGGGAAUUUGGGGAUCUGCACUGGACCAGAGGCAGAAGAUGGGAGAAGUUCCUGUGACUUGGCGAUGAGCCUCAUGAUUGGAUGGAGUGAGAUCUCUCUGAGCCAGACCAAGAAAGAGAGCUGCUGUGGAGGUGAGACAUGACUCCUGGACUAAACUGGCUA